AUUGAACGCUGGCGGCAGGCCUAACUCAUGCAAGUCGAGCGGAUGAAGGGAGCUUGCUCCUGGAUUCAGCGGCGGACGGGUGAGUAAUGCCUAGGAAUCUGCCUGGUAGUGGGGGAUAACGUCCGGAAACGGGCGCUGAUACCGCAUACGUCCUGAGGGAGAAAGUGGGGGAUCUUCGGACCUCACGCUAUCAGAUGAGCCUAGGUCGGAUUAGCUAGUUGGUGGGGUAAAGGCCUACCAAGGCGACGAUCCGUAACUGGUCUGAGAGGAUGAUCAGUCACACUGGAACUGAGACACGGUCCAGACUCCUACGGGAGGCAGCAGUGGGGAAUAUUGGACAAUGGGCGAAAGCCUGAUCCAGCCAUGCCGCGUGUGUGAAGAAGGUCUUCGGAUUGUAAAGCACUUUAAGUUGGGAGGAAGGGCAGUAAGUUAAUACCUUGCUGUUUUGACGUUACCAACAGAAUAAGCACCGGCUAACUUCGUG
rnacentral:rRNA from 1 species